rnacentral:pre_miRNA from 1 species
CUAAGAAAUAUUCCUUGACCAAGUUGAAAUUAAUGAGAAUAGGUUUCAACUUGGUCAAGGAAUAUUUCUUAG